CCUAUGGGAGGCAGCAGUGAGGAAUAGUGGUCAAUGGGCGCGAGCCUGAACCAGCCAAGUAGCGUGAAGGAUGACUGCCCUACGGGUUGUAAACUUCUUUUAUAAAGGAAUAAAGUGAGGCACGUGUGCCUUUUUGUAUGUACUUUAUGAAUAAGGAUCGGCUAACUCCGUGCCAGCAGCCGCGGUAAUACGGAGGAUCCGAGCGUUAUCCGGAUUUAUGGGGUUUCACGGGAGCGUAGAUGGGUUGUUAAGUCAGUUGUGAAAGUUUGCGGCUCCACCGUAAAAUUGCAAUUGAUACGGGCAGCCUUGAUUACAGUUGAGGUAGGCGGACUUCGUGGUGUCGCGGU
rnacentral:rRNA from 1 species